rnacentral:rRNA from 1 species
GACUAUACAUGCAGUCGAACGGCAGCACAGGAGAGCUUGCUCUCUGGGUGGCGAGUGGCGGACGGGUGAGGAAUACAUCGGAAUCUACUUUUUCGUGGGGGAUAACGUAGGGAAACUUACGCUAAUACCGCAUACGACCUACGGGUGAAAGCAGGGGAUCUUCGGACCUUGCGCGAUUGAAUGAGCCGAUGUCGGAUUAGCUAGUUGGCGGGGUAAAGGCCCACCAAGGCGACGAUCCGUAGCUGGUCUGAGAGGAUGAUCAGCCACACUGGAACUGAGACACGGUCCAGACUCCUACGGGAGGCAGCAGUGGGGAAUAUUGGACAAUGGGCGCAAGCCUGAUCCAGCCAUACCGCGUGGGUGAAGAAGGCCUUCGGGUUGUAAAGCCCUUUUGUUGGGAAAGAAAUCCAGCUGGUUAAUACCCGGUUGGGAUGACGGUACCCAAAGAAUAAGCACCGGCUAACUUCGUGCCACCAGCCGCGGUAAUACGAAGGGUGCAAGCGUUACUCGGAAUUACUGGGCGUAAAGCGUGCGUAGGUGGUCGUUUAAGUCCGUUGUGAAAGCCCUGGGCUCAACCUGGGAACUGCAGUGGAUACUGGGCGACUAGAGUGUGGUAGAGGGUAGCGGAAUUCCUGGUGUAGCAGUGAAAUGCGUAUAGAUCAGGAGGAACAUCCAUGGCGAAGGCAGCUACCUGGACCAACACUGACACUGAGGCACGAAAGCGUGUGGAGCAAACAGGAUUAGAUACCCUGGUAGUCCACGCCCUAAACGAUGCGAACUGGAUGUUGGGUGCAAUUUGGCACGCAGUAUCGAAGCUAACGCGUUAAUUCGCCGCCU